CACCCCGUCGUGGCCAUGGUUGAUGGGAACCCUCUGGCCUUAGAGCUAGCUGCAUCCUGCUGUUUGUUUUCCUCCCUUGCUCAGAAAAGAGAGAGACAUGGGCGAAAGGGGUGGGGGUCAGAUUGGUCCUCUGACCACAGCACUUCAGGCUGCACACGCGUCCUUCUCCGCCGCCCAGUGCCAAAAUCCUGCUACGGAAAAGGAGAAGAGAAAGGGCAGGUACACUCGGGAAGGCAGGAAUUGGACUCAGGCAGGCAGUUUUCCUACCAGCCUGCUGUGUUGUGUAACAAUGAGAGACAAUUUUUCGCAAGUGGAUCCAAGCUCUCAGUCUUGGAGGACCUGAGAAAGGUGAAGCCUCCCAAGGUCACGGUGUUUGAGCCAUCAAAAGCAGAGAUCUCCCGGACCCGGAAGGCCACGCUCGUGUGCCUGGCCACAGGCUUCUACCCCGACCACGUGGAGCUGAGCUGGUGGGUGAACGGGAAGGAGGUACACGACGGGGUGAGCACGGACCCUGAGCCCUACAAGGAACAGCCCGACGCGAACAGCUCCAACUACUGCCUGAGCAGCCGGCUGAGGGUCUCGGCCACCUUCUGGCACAACCCUCGCAACCACUUUCGCUGCCAAGUCCAGUUCCACGGGCUGGGGAAGGAAGACCAGUGGAACUACUCCGAGGCCAAACCCGUCACCCAGAACGUCAGUGCCGACACCUGGGGCAAAGCAGACUGCGGCUUCACUUCGGUGUCCUAUCAGCAGGGGGUCGUGUCGGCCACCCUGGUCUAUGAGAUCCUGCUGGGGAAGGCCAGCCUGUACGCCAUGCUGGUCAGCGUCCUUGUGCUGAUGGCCAAGGUCAAGAGAAAGGAUUCCUGAAGGCAGCUCAGAGGCGGAGCCGGGGGUUCCCAGCAGGCCCUGGCCCCCCUUUCCCCACUUCUAGCCCUUGCUUCUGAAGACCUGUUUUCAUCCCUCUGCUCCCCCCCCCACAGCAGCUGCCCCCUCUGUGCACGCACACGCGGACGCUCACGGCUCACCUCGCCCUAACCCAGGGGGGCCCUCGCGUGACGAAAUGGACUGAAUCAAUAAAAAUGGCCUGUUCUGGCUUGACUCUGC